rnacentral:rRNA from 1 species
AGAGAGAGACAUGCGCGCAUAUCAAUAAGCGGAGGAAAAGAAACUAACAAGGAUUCCCCUAGUAACGGCGAGUGAAGCGGGAAGAGCUCAAAUUUGAAAUCUUAAAGGGUUUCCCUUUACGAAUUGUAGUUUAAAGAAGUGUUUUCUGUUGAGGUUUUGGUAAAAGUUCUUUGGAAUAGGACAUCAUAGAGGGUGAGAAUCCCGUAUUUGACCUUUACUUUCAACUUUGUGAUACACUUUCAAAGAGUCGGAUUGUUUGGGAAUGCAGUCCAAAAUGGGUGGUAAAUUUCAUCUAAAGCUAAAUAUUGGCGAGAGACCGAUAGCGAACAAGUACCGUGAGGGAAAGAUGAAAAGAACUUUGAAAAGAGAGUUAAACAGUACGUGAAAUUGUCAAAAGGGAAGCGUUUGACACCAGUGUUGUUUUUCUGAAAAUCAAUUAAAGAACUGUUUAUGCUAAGUUGUUUAGACUUUAUCAGCUAUCUGUUUAGUUUUGAGCUUUUCUUUAAUGCACUUUUCAGUUAACAAGUCAACAUCAAUUUCUUUUGCUGUAAAGAAGCUUGAGGAAGGUGGCUUGAGAUUCGUCUUAAGUGUUUAUAGCCUCUUGCCUAUGCAGUCGGAGAGAUUGAGGUCUGCAGCGUAGAUCCUUCGGGGCUAAAUGCAUUUGUGCUAAGUUAUAGCAUUUUAUAGACAACUUGUUGACUAUGAUUUGUCUUGUAGCUUACUCGCUUAUGUUAUUUUACCUACGCUUAGGAUGUUGACGCAUGAGAUAUACGC